rnacentral:rRNA from 1 species
UACGUAGGGCGCAAGCGUUAUCCGGAAUUAUUGGGCGUAAAGAGCUCGUAGGCGGUCUGUUACGUCUGCUGUGAAAACCCAGGGCUUAACCCUGGGCUUGCAGUGGAUACGGGCAGACUAGAGGCAGGUAGGGGAGAAUGGAAUUCCCGGUGUAGCGGUGAAAUGCGCAGAUAUCAGGAAGAACACCUAUGGCGAAGGCAGCUCUCUGGGACGGUACUGACGCUGAGACGCGAAAGCGUGGGGAGCGAACAGG